AAGCUUGCGGAUGCUCGUUCCCUGAUGACGCCCGAAGAUGAGUACGUCCGACUGCGCGCCCGUCCCCUUCCGGCCGUCGACCUCGAUCUGCACCAUCAUCUGCUGCAACUUUCGGUCCUCUCCCAGGUUCGGCUGGAAAGGGGCGCUGAACUAGACGUGGAGUUUCGGCGUCAAAAGACCGACCUUGCUGCCGCGGAAGCCGACCUUGCCGCCUC
rnacentral:lncRNA from 1 species